UACAUAGGGGGCAAGCGUUGUCCGGAUUUAUUGGGCGUAAAGAGCGUGUAGGCGGCUUGGUAGGUCCGCUGUGAAAACUCGAGGCUCAACCUCGAGAUGUCGGCGGAAACCACUUGGCUAGAGUCCGGAAGAGGAGAGUGGAAUUCCUGGUGUAGCGGUGAAAUGCGCAGAUAUCAGGAAGAACACCUAUGGCGAAGGCAGCUCUCUGGGACGGUACUGACGCUGAGACGCGAAAGCGUGGGGAGCGAACAGG
rnacentral:rRNA from 1 species